rnacentral:rRNA from 1 species
CAGUCGCCGCGGGAAUACGGAGGGUGCAAGCGUUAAUCGGAAUUACUGGGCGUAAAGCGCACGCAGGCGGUCUGACAAGUCAGAUGUGAAAUCCCCGGGCUUAACCUGGGAACUGCAUUUGAAACUGUCAGGCUGGAGUCUUGUAGAGGGGGGUAGAAUUCCAGGUGUAGCGGUGAAAUGCGUAGAGAUCUGGAGGAAUACCGGUGGCGAAGGCGGCCCCCUGGACAAAGACUGACGCUCAGGUGCGAAAGCGUGGGGAGCAAACUGGAUUAGAUACCCGUGUAGUCCCUGUCUCUUAUAC